rnacentral:misc_RNA from 1 species
UUUGAAGUUCUCAGCACUUUUCAAACCACGUCCUCCAGUGACAACAACCCGUGCAUUCGCAAGAUCAGGACGUUCUGCUUCCUGAGAUGUUUGCUUUACAAAUCUAGAUUUUCCAAUAGAAUCUCCACCAAACGUUGAGAGAUCAACCUGAGAUAUAGGGGACCUGGAUGAUGCCGACUCAACUGAUUUUGAGGUCACUGGGAAUGAUGUAGAUCUUAUGGUCAACAUACAAG